UACGUAGGGUGCGAGCGUUGUCCGGAAUUAUUGGGCGUAAAGAGCUCGUAGGCGGUUUGUCGCGUCUGCUGUGAAAGACCGGGGCUCAACUCCGGUUCUGCAGUGGGUACGGGCAGACUAGAGUGCAGUAGGGGAGACUGGAAUUCCUGGUGUAGCGGUGAAAUGCGCAGAUAUCAGGAGGAACACCGAUGGCGAAGGCAGGUCUCUGGGCUGUAACUGACGCUGAGGAGCGAAAGCAUGGGGAGCGAACAGG
rnacentral:rRNA from 1 species